GCUAAUGAAUCAACUGGUAUUGGACUGCUCUCAAAGGCAAGGGGGGAUUACUCUUAACUAACUAAGCCUAAAGGCUAUCCAGCUUAAGGAUGAAAUUAUUUAGAAGGAAAUACCCCGUCGGUAGUUCUGCAAAGGCAGAAGGAAAAAGCUUAGUCACCAAUUUCAUACGAACUCACGAAGAAAGAAGGAUGCCAAAAAUCCCGACUUCUCUUGUCUUAGUGUAGUGGAACUCAAAGACCCGAGUGAUGGAAACUCAAUAGUCAAAGUGGGGGCAACUCACUAAUUUUCCUGGGGUUAGGGGAAGGAAGGCCUGAGAAUCUAGACCCAAAGGACUACUUCUCGUGAUGAGCUAUUUGAAGGAAUCUUUUGCUGUAUGGCCUCUGAAGCUUCUGCGAAUAUCUUUCGCUUUGAGUUGUAAUUUAACAAUAGGAACCACGAACAGCUCUUUGUCUUUAGCCUGGCACUUGCCAUUUCCUCAGCUGCUAUUAGGAUAAUAACCGAUGUUCUAGAAUCUAGUGAGUUCGAUUUUAACAACAGCUCAAUUCAGGGAUAGAAUAGGAAGCUCUUGCUCUCAGUGUGAUAAGAAGAGGUAGUUAUAAACUCUUUAUCCACUUUGAAUAGGAAUAGCCGCAAAAGCCCUUUUACCUAGAACCACAAAAAAUCUGAUAAAUCAAAGUAGCAGGCAAACAAAAUCCUAAACCCGAAUUACACUCCAGAAAUAAUAAGAAAGGAUUUGCAAGCUCAUUGAACGAGUCGAGUCCGGUGCUCUUUAAUUUGCUGGUAUUGAACUGCGUGAAAGCAUAAAUAGGCAAAGGAAAGGGAAUAAUUGGGAUCGAUUCCACAUCUGGCUCAAUAGAAGAAAGAGGUUUGUAACCUUAGCUAUCAGUUCAAUCCACUCUUUUCCAUUCCAUCGCUACGAAG
rnacentral:lncRNA from 1 species